GCCCUCGUGGCGCAAUGGCAGCGCGUUAGACUUCUAUUGCUGAAACAUGUGAUCUAAAGGCUGUGAGUUCAAUCCUCACCGGGGGUG